ACAACUGUAUGGAGGAGAUUCAGAAGUGUUCAGGCCCUGAAACGACUUUUACCAUCAUUGUGGACACAAACCUGUCAGAACAUCAAGGAGGAUCCACAGGAUUGCAGGUGAAUGAUGUAGAGAUCUGUUAAAUUCAUUUUAAAUCAUAUUCUGUUAAUGACAUUGUGCUGCAGCCUCAGACUGGGAUCAGUCAUUUUAAUUUCUUUUAGGAUUUCCCAGUGUGAUUGGCUGCAUAGAUGCACACACAUCCCCAUCACAGCUCCCUCACAUCAUGAACAGGAAGUCCAUUCACAGCAUAAAUGUGCAGAUCAUAUGUGAUGCUGCAUGCAUCAUUUCUAAUGUGGAGGCCACGUGGUCUGGGUCUGUUCAUGACUCCAGGAUUUAUGGAGAGUCUAACCUGAGCAACAGACUGCAGCGUGGUCAGCAGCAUAAAGAUUUUCACAAUAGAAUUCUCUUGUCUCCCUCCUUUAAUAUGCUCUGAUGUAUCCACUAUACAUUACAGGAGAGUUUGAUGGCCUUCUGCUGGGUGACAGGGGUUACCAUGACAACCCAGGCUGAUGACCUCAUACCCUGACCCUGAACCAGGCCCCCAACAGAACUUCAACCGGACUCACUGCAGGACCAGAGCCCGGGUGGAGAUGACCAUAGGCCUGCUGAAAGCCCGUUUCCAGAGCCUACGUCUCCUCAGGGUGACCCCUGAGAGGGCCUGUGAUAUUACUGUGGCAUGUGUUGUUCUUCAUAAUAUUACCACUAUUAGAGGAGAGCAACACCCUGCCCUACAAACUGAAGACCCAGAUGAUGAGCCCAUCCACCUGCAGCUAUCCAGGACAGCAGAGCAGUCAGAGACACCGUAUGCAAUAAUCACUUUAGAGUUUAAGUCUCCAUCAUCACCACCACAGCAAAUAAAGACAUGAUACACAUUU